UACGGAGGGGGCAAGCGUUGUUCGGAAUUAUUGGGCGUAAAGGGCGCGUAGGCGGCGAAGAAAGUCGAACGUGAAAUCCCUCGGCUCAACCGAGGAAUUGCGUUUGAUACUUCUUUGCUUGAGGCCGGGAGAGGAGAGUGGAAUUCCCAGUGUAGCGGUGAAAUGCGUAGAUAUUGGGAGGAACACCGGUGGCGAAGGCGGCUCUCUGGACCGGUUCUGACGCUGAGUGCGCGAAAGCCAGGGGAGCAAACAGG
rnacentral:rRNA from 1 species